CUCGAUCGAACGUGUCCUGUGGGUCAUCCUCGAACGUGUUUGGUUUGUUUACCUCACAGUUAACUUCUAGCAUCAAUUUGCGUAUUGUACAUACAAAAGAAUGUGUAUGCCAAAUAAAUAAACAUACACCAUUAUAUGGGCAAUCAUACACCAUUACAUACGCAUUCAUAUAUAUCACACAAUUAUACUCAUAAAUAUGUCUAAAGCAUAAAUAUUUUAUUAAUCUACUAUAUCUUCCACUUUGAGUUAUCAUUGGUGAAAAUAUGAGUAGGUGAUUACGACGCUAGUAUAAUAUAGAUAAAAUGACUUAACAAACUUUACGGAAAAUAAUUACUUUAUUACUAAUAAUAGGCCUUUGGGGUUUAUCCUUUCCUUUCUAAAUAGAAAUUAUAUGUACGGCUAAAAUGAUUAUUUAUAAAUUACAUAACAUUAAUAUUUCAAGAAUUAAUGAAAAUUACUAAUUUUGGACUUUAAUACCAUAAUCAUAGUUAUUUUGACAUAAAUAGAUAUUUUACUAUUCUAAGUGAAUAAGUGAUAUACAUACGAAUACUUAUAUCCUAAUUAGUGAAAAUAUAUAUUUUAACCUAACCGAUAAUACGUGGCCUAUUACUUCUUCCAUUUUCUUAUAUCAAUAAAAUUAUACUUAAAUCACUACUAACAAUAUCGUUCCACAUGCUAAAGUGAAGUUGAUCGUAAACGUUUCUAGUAUGUAAAUCACCAAGUUAGUGAAUCGUAGCAUUAUUCAUUUUCAAAAUAUAAAAUAAUACUUAUGUCCAAAAUAUUGUUGCAGGGGCUGGUUCACAAUUAAGUGUAUACAUCGGGGUCUCUUUUUAAUAGUUUUUUAAUUGAGAAAUAUUUGAACUAAAUUUACACAAAACCAGGGGUUAAAACGUAAAAUAGUCAUCUUCUACCUUGGGCUCAGUCUCGUGCUUGCGCAGGAAGCUUGACAGGGGGAAAUGGGCGAGCAGGGCGAGGCGUGGCCGGGACGGGUGAGGCUCGGCGGCGUUCGGCGUGCUCCGUUGUGGCGGCUCGACGAGCAGGGCGCGGCUCCGACGAACGACGACGCGACAAACGGCGAAGGCGUGGGCAGGG
rnacentral:lncRNA from 1 species